UGGGGAAUAUUGCACAAUGGGCGCAAGCCUGAUGCAGCCAUGCCGCGUGUAUGAAGAAGGCCUUCGGGUUGUAAAGUACUUUCAGCGGGGAGGAAGGGAGUAAAGUUAAUACCUUUGCUCAUUGACGUUACCCGCAGAAGAAGCACCGGCUAACUCCGUGCCAGCAGCCGCGGUAAUACGGGGGGUGCAAGCGUUAAUCGGAAUUACUGGGCGUAAAGCGCACGCAGGCGGUUUGUUAAGUCAGAUGUGAAAUCCUCGGGCUCAACCUGGGAACUGCAUCUGAUACUGGCAAGCUUGAGUCUCGGAGAGGGGGGUAGAAUUCCAGGUGUAGCGGUGAAAUGCGUAGAGAUCUGGAGGAAUACCGGUGGCGAAGGCGGCCCCCUGGACGAAGACUGACGCUCAGGUGCGAAAGCGUGGGGAGCAAACAGG
rnacentral:rRNA from 1 species